AUUGAACGCUGGCGGCAGGCCUAACACAUGCAAGUCGAGCGGAUGAGGAAAGCUUGCUUUUCGAUUCAGCGGCGGACGGGUGAGUAAUGCCUAGGAAUCUGCCUGUUAGUGGGGGAUAACUCGGGGAAACUCGGGCUAAUACCGCAUACGUCCUACGGGAGAAAGUGGGGGAUCUUCGGACCUCACGCUAACAGAUGAGCCUAGGUCGGAUUAGCUAGUAGGUGAGGUAAUGGCUCACCUAGGCGACGAUCCGUAACUGGUCUGAGAGGAUGAUCAGUCACACUGGAACUGAGACACGGUCCAGACUCCUACGGGAGGCAGCAGUGGGGAAUAUUGGACAAUGGGCGAAAGCCUGAUCCAGCCAUGCCGCGUGUGUGAAGAAGGCCUUCGGGUUGUAAAGCUCUUUUGUCAGGGAAGAAACGGUGGGGGCUAAUAUCCUCUGCUAAUGACGGUACCUGAAGAAUAAGCACCGGCUAACUACGUGCCAGCCGCCGCUGUAAGAC
rnacentral:rRNA from 1 species